UUUGAGGGGAUCGAGGUGAGAGGAAGGAAGUGACAGCACUCGUGGGGGCCCCGAGGUCCCCCAUGAGCAGAGGGGAGUGAGCCACAGAGCACGGUGAGGGGACAGCAAGGGGGCCCAGGUGACAACUAUGACAAUUGCAGCGCCGGAGCCCAGUGCCUCUGCUCUAACUGUGCAUGCAGUGAGAAAGUGCCCAAGUCAGAGAAGCAAACCCUCUUCCUUCCUCUUUCUGCCAGGAAGCCGCGGGGCCUGGCCCCUGCCAGGUGUCCACCCCACUGCCACAGCAUCCCCGGAAGGUGCUUCUCCCCAUUGGUCAGAGAGUGAUGCCCGUGUCCUCACCCACAACCCCCCGGCCCAGUCACCCUCAGGGCCCCUCUUUCCUGACCCUUCCAGAGCGUUCUCUGGGAUGUGGGGCGAGGCCUAGGGGGUGCCCCCUCCCCUGGGCGAGGUCCUGGCUUCCACAUGACCUCCCCACCCCCCAGGCCCCAUGGCCCACAUGGACCUCUGUGACCCUCAAGGCGGAAGAGUGAAGCAGGGUACCCCUGGGGCACCCAGGACCUGGCCGAGCCCGGAGGCUGAGGCGGGGUGAGAAGUUGGCACAGCUGAGGUCAGAGUGUUGCAGAAAGCACCUGCAGCUGUGUAAGCUCCAGACCCGGUGAGACACGGAACAGCCGCCUUCCUCCCCAGUCCUGAGUGCCAUCAUGUGAAGGGCGCCCCAGUGGCCUGCCUCGCUCUGGGGCGGCUCCCCGAUGGCUCUGUUGCCAAGGUCCGGUGGGACUCGCCGCUCAGGAGAAGGCGAGUGAAAAUCGGCGACGCCUGGGGCGGCUGGAGUGACACAGUCAGGACCAGCCUGGCUGCGGACUAGGGGGCUGACCCGGCCGGGGCCUCUUGUCCGCACCCCGAGCUGGUCCUGAGCCAUCCCCCGACCCUGUGCCUCUGUCCAGGGCGCGUCCCGAGCCGGCGGCCUCACUGCAGGCCGACCCUCCCUCUACCCACCGGACACGUGGCCGAGGCCUGUGCCGAGGAGCCCGUGCCGUCGGCAAACCCGGGGGAGCCGUGGCCGCGCUGUGGCCCUGCCGGCUGCACAUGAAGAAGGUGCCGGGGGCAUCCCGGGUCCCCCUGCCCCACACCUCCUGGGACCCCAGGGCUGGGCUGUUCUCAGAGCUGCCCCUCCUGCCGCCCGACCCCGGGCCAGGACGCCGACCACACCGUGAAAGCUGCUCUCCGAACAGAACAGAACAGAGCAGCCGCCUGCCUCCCUCCAGGAUGAGCCCUUUAGGGCCGGGGCCCCUCUCACCAGCUCAUCUGGCUCUCAUCUCUGCUCCAGAAGAUCUGAAACCUGCACGGAAGGAGCGUCAUCUCCUGCCCACAGACACCCUCAUCAGCGGCGUCCGGGAGCCGGUUUGUGCCACCAGGUGCUCUCAGCAGCUCUUCUCUGGGGGAAGCUCCUUGAGAUGCAGCGGCGUCCGGUCCGCAAGCGGGCUGCCCUGCGUGGCCGGGGUGAUGGCCCCACGCGUCACCUCACAGGUCAGAGGGGACAAAUCUCGGCCCUCGGGCAACAGCCGGGGAGUCCCCGCUUCUCACCGCUGACGCGUCCCCGAGGGCCGGCCGCCGAGGACAGGGGGAGGCCUGUUAACUCCUUCACUGGCUGUCCCAGCGUCUUGCCGGCCCUCCUGACAGCCUCCAUAAUGUCUGUUGAAUAAACGGUUUAGAAAACAAAUGAGUCCGGGGUGAAGAAAGAGCCUGUGAUGGUAGCAUAGCGUUGAGAAUGCACUGAAUGCCACUGAAACAUACACUUGAAGAUGGUUAAAAUGGUGAAUAUUAUUUUAUGUUUAUUUUACCACAUUAAAAAAAUAACCCACAAGUGAAUGAGUGGCUAAUUGUGCAAAGUGUAACCUUAAACCCGAGCUUUAUUCUUUUGAUCAUGAAGCUAUGGCUUUUUAUAUUCAAUACUUUUAAUUUUAAUCUCCGGGCUUGAAUUGUACUUUCCGUUGGAGGGUAAAUCCUGACAGUAGGUUGUGAGACUGCUCACAGCAUUUACAUGACUCGUUUUCGAUGCAGCUCCGCUGACAAGCUCUUUCACUUUAAGCAUAAAAUUAAAGAGAACUCACAUCUCGUCUGUCCUGCCGCGCUUCUGGUGGUGUCAGCAUCUCUGUGGUCCACUCUCUUUCACAGGAUUUGUAAUGUCAGCAAAAGGAUUAUUUCAGGCUGACACUUGGCACAGAUGGUUCUCCGCCAAAUGUGAUUUCGAAGGGGAGGAUUUGAUCCCAAUUAUUCCAUUCGGCUUUGUUGAAGGAGAGUAAGAAAAAAGAAUGUACUCAGCUUCCGGUUCUGUAGUAUUUUUAUUUUAGAUGUAACUGCAGUGACCCUGGCUGGCGGUGAGCUUUCAGCAUGGACCGACAUUUUGGCGGCUUCGGAAAAAGAAAGCUCGUUCGCACAAUCCAGGGCUCUGGGAACGGCCGCCCCGCUUUCCUGCCGUGGCUGUGCUGUGCUGUGGACCCAACACAGAUCCCUCUGUCCCCCGCUGGACAGCGGCCAGGCGGCCAAGGUCUGUGGAGCAGGACCACUCGGUGCGCGAGGCCAGCUCAGCCCUGGAAACCGCAGGGCAACAAAAAGCCUCUGUUCCCUCACGACAGGCUCUGCACAGAGAGGGUCCCGGCCGCGGCUCAGCCACGGGGACGGACUUGCAGAGGGACCUGGCGGGAAAGCCCGCGGAGGGGGACAGAGGGUGCCCGAUUCUGGUUCAGUGGGUGGACCGGAGGAAGGGGACUCUGUCCCACGAAUUUCUGCAGCACCUCCGAGUUCACGGGACCCUCACGACCGCCUUUCCUUUCCUUCCUGAGGCGCUCGGUCCCGUGUUUAGUUUUCGGGGAGGGGGCGUUGGCUCACGUCAGCCCCACAAACUCAGGAUCAGGAACUUGGUUUGGGGGAGACCUCCAUUCCUGCAGAUUUUGUGGAAUUGUUGUAUUCAGUUCUCAAUCCCUUUUUUUUUUUUUUGGCUUUGAAACCUUAGCUGUCUGGACGUUGCCUGGAAGGAAGGGAGGGGGAGGAGUCCCUGACCCCAAGGGAAAGCACGUCUAGGGAUGCCUGGACCUCAGCCAAUGCAGCCAAAGGGGCCGCUCUGGCCACCUGCCUCUCGCCCCACCCAGAAGGGAGGGGCCUGCCCACACCCCACCCUGGACAGGUGAGACUGGCAGCAGGUGAUUAGUCACGGGCACAUGAGCGAUGGGCCCGUCUGGGGGGCUGCAGAGGAAGCUUUGCAGUUCCCAGGGGGACGAGGCGGGCUUGUAUGGAUAACCCUACAGCCUGGCAGGGGCCUGAGGCGGACGCAUCCGGCUGGGAGCUGGGAGUCUGCAGCUGGUUCUCCGCUGGGGGUCGUGCUCUUUCAGGCCCUGGAACCUUAGAACGUGGUGGGGCGGGGUGCUUGCCCACCACCGUGUGAUCUUUCUAGGCUGUCUUGCCGUCCAGUCGACACAGCACAGUUCCCAGGACGGGGCGGGGCUGCGUCUCAGGGGCGGAACCUGCUGGGCCCCAUUUUCAGAAAUCAGCGGAGCAGAAAGAGAAGAGGGCGCGUUUCCUGCUUCUCCUCUGGGCAAGUCCUCGGAGCGACGCCCGCCCAGGCCCUGUGGGGCGGGACUUGCAGCUGGCGGUCAGCCAGGGGGUGGGGGCGGGGCUGAGGGCCUGUCCCUCCAGGCAGACCCGCUGCAGCCCGGGUGGGCUCCCCGCAAGGGGUGUUCCACCCGCCUAACCCCGUUCCUCCCUUCUCUCCAACCAAAGCUUCAGGGAAGUUCCUUUUACACCGUCCUGCCCCUCUGAGGCCUAGGUAGGCACAGGACGGCUCUGAGUGGUUUCCAGGUGUUUUCACCUGAACACACCUGUCCGCCAGUGUGUGCUGGAGGCUAAACACCUUCAUCCGAGGCUCACCCCAAAGGCGACACCCUGGGUCCUGGUGAGAACCCCCCGUGGAGCUCAGGCCCCCACGGCCGCUGAUUAACCCGACGGCUGCUCCUUUCUGACUAUGCUGCACGGCGCCCACAGUGCAUUUUCUGCAGGACGGUCCAGCGUGUGAGGCUUUCAGUUAUAGAACAGGGUAAUCUGGAAGCUGUCUUUUCUGUCAAAACAAGGAUUAUACAACCUCGCAGUGAUGAUUCCUUAGUUUCAGAGUUUCUUUUUUUUAACUCAGUGCUGCGUUUCUGUGUCUAAUCACAUCUGGACUGCCAGGCCCUCACCACUGCAUAUGGAAAGCACGCCUUCUGAAAAGUUUCUGACGGUUUCGAUUACACACUGAGGGACAGGAGGGAGGGGUGGCCUCCCGGGACCCAGCAGCAUCGCUCCUUUGCUCACCAGGGAACCGGCUGGAGUGGACGGGCCCGUCUGCAGCGGGCUGGGUGGGAGGGCCAGGGGUAUGUCCCGACGCGGUGGGAGCGCUGCUGGGAGGGUCACUGCAGGGCCGCAGUCGGGCAGGCCCCCACCCCGGCCCUGACUUCGGCAGAACCAGGUCCAUCUCUGAGUCCAGCCGCUCAGGGUGUUCCGUGCUGUGCUAAGAUUUACUGAGCCACGGAAUCUUAGGUUCCUUCCCGAAAACGGCUCUCAGGGGUUUCCCUGCAUGAGGGUGUGUCAGGAUGGGCCCUCCCUCUGCCAACGGUGGCCGCUUUGGGUUCCCACCAAAUUUCACCUGCUCCCAGGGUGAAUUCCCGGCCCUUCUUGUCAUUCUUCUUGAAGAUGCCGUUUGUGACUCUGCUUGUGGGAGCACAGGGCGGGCCUGGGCUUUUUGGGCGUUAGGAGGGCGCUGCGUGGAGGCUCUGUGUGUGCCAGGAUGCCAGCGCCACAGCGGACGGGGCAGCGGCUCCACCUGUGGUUCGUGAUGCUGUGCAAACUGGCCGCCUUGCCUGACUUUUCCUCCAUGGAAUGAAGUCGCCUGAGGGUCGCGUCCCUGCAAGGACACGGUCGGGUCCGCAUGAUUGAGGACCGUGUGGAAGUCACGUGCAGGGGUGGGGCCUGGGCUGCAGGGUACCCCGAGCCGAGGGAAGGGGGUCAUUUCACUUCCAAACCCUGACGCAGGUGUGGCAUUGCACCCUUCUCACAGGCCCAGGACAUCUUCAACAGACGAAGCUCUGGCUUUCAACCUGCCCCCCUCAUGCCCCGUCCCCGCAGCUCAGGGCUGGCCCCUGGGACGUGGGAGCAUGCGCCCAACGCAGCCAAGCUCAGGCUCUGACCGGGGCGGGGUGGGGGGUCACACGCAGGUGUGACCUGCUCAGGGAAGGCUGCCUGGAGGAAGAGGCCGCGCGGGAGGCUGGGGGGACGAGGCUCCUGCAGGACUCAGGGCAGCACCUGGCAGGCAGGGGUCCGGGGCCCCGUCAUCCCGUCCACAGCCAGGACCCUCCCAGGUCACAUGUCACAGGGGUGUGGGUGCAGGCCAGGGAAGGGCACCCACGGGCAGAGCGUGCGCGAGGCUCUACCAGAACGCGGCCCUGUCUGGCUCUUCUUGCAUUCGCUGUGGCCGUUGUCCGCCCACAUCAGGAUGAGUGGUCAUGGCAGGGACGGCCUGGCCGCAAAGCGCAACAGCUCUGGGGCCAGCCCUGCACAGGCGUCUGUGGGUCUCCCGGGGCGCCACUAGGGAUAAGCAGGGUCCUGGCUGGCAGCAGGCGGCUGACUCCCACCAAAGACGGACGAAAGGGACCUUGAACAGUAGGGCCAGCGUCCAGGUGAGAGCAGGUGCAGGUGGGGGCCGGGCAGCAUCGCAGAGGCACGUGGGAAAGCCCUCAUGUGCAGCAGGUUUGCGGCGCCCAGACCACCAAAGCCGAGGCUUCUGUGCCCGCCGUCCGCACCGGGCCCUCAGCAGAGGGGUCUCGGUCUCCUGGGACCCUCCCAAGGCGUCUGUGCCCCUUGGAGUUGAGAGGCAGUGCGAUGCUCCCCGCUGGGGGGUUGGGGUCAUUUCUGGACAAAGUCCCUAGAGUCGGUGCUUUUGACACUCCUUUCCUGGAGGAAGCCCGCAGGCUCCCUCGGGGAACCCAAAGCCGCUCAGGGGGUGCUGCCCGGGCCCCUGCCAUGUGUCACUGUGACCUUUUAGCUCGGCAGGGUCUGCGGGCUGAGGGGGAGGGGCCGUACCUCCCCCUCCCCCGCCGGAAUGUCUGCGCUGCAAACAGGAACUUCGCCUUCUGGGGUCAGCUGACUCCUGGAAACGGCAGCACCGGGCCACGCAGUGCUGACUGAGGCCAGGAUGUGGGCGCGUCCGGUGUGAGGGGGCGGCUGGGGCGUGGGCAGGAGGCCGCCUCGUGGUCUUGAGACACCGUCCCCUCAGCUCCAGUCCUGCUCUUGGGGCGGAGACGUCGCCCCUUCGGCUGCUGGACCUGUUCUGCUGGGAGGGCAGGGCCCCAGGUGACCCCGCCCAGGCUGGCUGUCCUGCCUGCUUGGGGCAUCACGUGUAAGACCCCGGACCUUGCGCUGGGGCUGCGCUGAGUAGGGCUUUUGAUGAACUGGGUCGACCCUGAGCAGUGGAGUCUGGGGGCCCUGCCGGGGGCCCUGAGGUGGUUCCCAGACCUGUCUGUGACGGACGCUGCCCCCCGCCCACCACCGGGAGAGCUCCUGAAAGUUUACGCCCCUCCCUCCAGGAGCACCGUUGCUUCUCCGUAACCAGGAUGAUCAACCCUCGAACAUAGAGGAGAGUCUGGACCGCGGGUCUUUCCGUCUGCUGGCUCUUCGACUUCCUCGGCUCGACCACCGGUUCCUGGCCACCGAGCACGUGCAAAGCCAGUGUCCAGCGCUUUCUUCCCUGGGGCUCAGGCCAGCAGCCCUGCCCCAGUCCUGGCGCUCUGGCCGGAUGCUGUCUUUGUCUGGUCUCUUCCCUCCUCCUUCAGAUGCUCAGCUCGGUCUGCAGGUCCAGGCUUGGCAUCCAGGACACACAGGCCCACGAGGACCGCCUGCAUCCCCAGACAGAGCACGCACAGCUCCUGCUGUCCACCCAGGGCCUGGCGACCUCCCGGCAUCGGCACACUGAGGUGGGUCUGCCCCCAUGGAAACCGGCACCCUCGCCAAGUGGCGGACACCUCCGUCCAGGUGCCCUUCCUGAUUUCCCCCACUCCUGGAAGCCUCUGGGGCGAGGGGAGCUGCCAUCUCUCCACCCUCUCUGCCCAGCGCCCUCCCUCCCGGAGAGGCAGACCCUCUGGGAGUGAGUCUAAGCAUUGUAGUUCCUUGUCCAGGGCCACAGCCAGGUCACAAGCGCACAAGGAAUGUCAUCACACCCACCCUGUCCACAGGGGGCUGAUUCACUCUUGUUCCCAACAGCUGGGGUGCUGGUCUGAGGACCCCACCGUUCUCUGCCUUUGAGCUUUUCAGGAAGCCUGUGCUGUCUGGGGGUGGACGUCCCUCUGGCCACCUCUACUCAAGUGCGGCAGGGGAGGGGGGCACCCAGAGCAGACCCAGUCCCUCCGGCUGCACCCGAGCCAGCUGUCUCUGAGUCAUCGGCCCACGGGUGACCCACCGUCCCCUAAGCUCAGGUUGGCAGCUUCCCUCCCAGCAGAAGACAAACGUGAAAUACCGUACGUCAAAACCUGGAGAAGUAAUUUCUGAGGCAAGAUUGAGUUUUUAAAGAUUAUAGUUUGGAGAACUCAGGUGCCUCUAGUAUUUUAACCGUUUCAUAUUGUGGCGUUUUAUCCUACCUGUGAAAUACCAUCGGUGUUCCACUUUCAUUGUUAUUUUAACCAGGAGCUUCAUCUAUGUGAAAUAAAAUUCAUAUUUUAUGGCAAGACUGGAGAAAUUUAAACAUAAGAAAUUUACUCUGCCCUUUGACCUCCCCUCUCCCCCAACUGCGCAUCUUGUAUCUGCAUUAGGGAUGACCACAGCUCCCCAUCGGCAGACAUACCUGCUCGUCCGCGAGGAGCGACAUCCUCCCAGCACCGGCAAGACAGCCCCUUAAAGAAAACAUUCCUCUCGAUCUUUUAAGGGGCCACAAUGACGCUCAGCGCUAGACUGUGUAAACUGUCAAUAAUACGUCAUUUAAUGUACAGCCCUCUGUCUCAAAAAACUUCAACAGCUGUGCCUGGGCUUCUAAUGGGUGGAACAGCUUUGGAGCUUCUGAGAGGCUGUUCUUGGGUUCGAAGCCUCAGUUUGGCUCGAAUAAAAUUUUUCAUUUCCCUCUUA